UACGAGGGGGGUAAGCGUUGUUCGGAAUUAUUGGGCGUAAAGGGUGCGUAGGCGGUUUGGUAAGUCUUAUGUGAAAUCUACAGGCUCAACUUGUAGUCUGCAUGAGAAACUGCCGGGCUUGAGUAUGGGAGAGGUGAGUGGAAUUCCUGGUGUAGCGGUGAAAUGCGUAGAUAUCAGGAGGAACACCUGUGGCGAAAGCGGCUCACUGGACCAUAACUGACGCUGAUGCACGAAAGCUAGGGGAGCAAACAGG
rnacentral:rRNA from 1 species